rnacentral:rRNA from 1 species
UACGUAGGGCGCGAGCGUUGUCCGGAUUUAUUGGGCGUAAAGAGCUCGUAGGCGGUUUGUCGCGUCGGGUGUGAAAACCUCGGGCUUAACUCGGGGCUUGCUUUCGAUACGGGCAGACUAGAGGUAUGCAGGGGAGAACGGAAUUCCUGGUGUAGCGGUGAAAUGCGCAGAUAUCAGGAGGAACACCGGUGGCGAAGGCGGUUCUCUGGGCAUGAUCUGACGCUGAGGAGCGAAAGUGUGGGGAGCGAACAGG